GACCGCGUAGCUCAGUUGGCAGAGCAUUGGGAUAAUAUUCCAAAGGUCGUAGGUUCGAUUCCCACCGUGGCCA
rnacentral:tRNA from 1 species